GUGCUUAUUUAUUCGCACAUAUACUAAAAUUGGAAGAAUACAGAGAAGAUUACCAUGGUCUUUG
rnacentral:snRNA from 1 species